rnacentral:misc_RNA from 1 species
UCCUGGUUUCCCAGGCAGUCCCAUUAGAGUGCUCCCUUACGGGAUAGCAACUAAUGGCAGGGGUUGCGCUCGUUAAAGGACUUAACCCAACAUCUCACGACACGAGCUGACGACAGCCAUGCAGCACCUGUGUACCCGUUCAGGCGAACCUGAAAAACCGUAUUUCUACGGCGGGCAGGUACAUGUCAAACCUAGGUAAGGUUCCUCGCGUAGUGUCGAAUUAAACCACAUGUUCCACCGCUUGUGCGGACCCCCGUCAAUUUCUUUAAGUUUUAGUCUUGCGACCGUACUCCCCAGGCGGAUCACUUAACGCGUUAGCUGCGACACUAAUCCCGCAAAGCGGGUCCAACGUCUAGUGAUCAUCGUUUACGGCGUGGACUAC